GACGCACCGAGCGAACGUUGUUCGGAAUCACUGGGCUUAAAGGGCGCGUAGGCGGGUGAUCAAGUCCGGGGUGAAAUCCUCCAGCUCAACUGGAGAACUGCCUCGGAUACUGGUUGCCUCGAGGAAGGUAGGGGUGUGUGGAACGUUCAGUGGAGCGGUGAAAUGCAUUGAUAUUGAACGGAACUCCGGUGGCGAAGGCGACACACUGGACCUUUUCUGACGCUGAGGCGCGAAAGCUAGGGGAGCAAACGGG
rnacentral:rRNA from 1 species